rnacentral:tRNA from 1 species
CCCAGGGUAACCUAGUGGACAUGGCAUCUGUCUGGUAAGCGGAACACUGUGGGUUCGAUUCCCAUCCCUGGACA